CGGGAUGUAGCGCAGCCUGGUAGCGUACACGUCUGGGGGGCGUGGGGUCGCAAGUUCAAAUCUUGUCAUCCCGACAA
rnacentral:tRNA from 1 species